rnacentral:rRNA from 1 species
AGUGAACGCUGGCGGUAGGCCUAACACAUGCAAGUCGAACGGCAGCACAGUAAGAUUUUGCUCUUACGGGUGGCGAGUGGCGGACGGGUGAGGAAUACAUCGGAAUCUACUUUUUCGUGGGGGAUAACGUAGGGAAACUUACGAUAAUACCGCAUAUGACCUACGGGUGAAAGCAGUGGAUCUUUGGACCUUGCGCGAUUGUAUGAGCCGAUGUCGGAUUAGCUAGUUGGCGGGGUAAAGGCCCACCAAGGCGACGAUCCGUAGCUGGUCUGAGAGGAUGAUCAGCCACACUGGAACUGAGACACGGUCCAGACUCCUACAGGAGGCAGCAGUGGGGAACAUUGGACAAUGGGCACAAGCCUGAUCCAGCCAUACCGCGUGGGUGAAGAAGGCCUUCGGGUUGUAAAGCCCUUUUGUUGGGAAAGAAAAGCAGCAGGUUAAUACCCCGCUGUUCUGACGGUACCCAAAGAAUAAGCACCGGCUAACUUCGUG